rnacentral:rRNA from 1 species
UUUGGCCUACGGGACGCAGCAGUGGGGGAUAUUGCACAAUGGAGGAAACUCUGAUGCAGCGACGCCGCGUGAGGGAAGACGGUCUUUGGAUUGUAAACCUCUGUCUUUGGGGAAGAAAAUGACGGUACCCAAAGAGGAAGCUCCGGCUAACUACGCGCCAGCAGCCGCGGUAAUACGUAGGGAGCGAGCGUUGUCCGGAAUUACUGGGUGUAAAGGGAGCGUAGGCGGGCGAGAAAGUUGAAUGUUAAAUCUACCGGCUUAACUGGUAGCUGCGUUCACACCUUCUUGUCUUGAG